AUUGAACGCUGGCGGCAGGCCUAACACAUGCAAGUCGAGCGGUAGAGAGGUGCUUGCACCUCUUGAGAGCGGCGGACGGGUGAGUAAUGCCUAGGAAUCUGCCUGGUAGUGGGGGAUAACGCCCGGAAACGGACGCUAAUACCGCAUACGUCCUACGGGAGAAAGCAGGGGACCUUCGGGCCUCGCGCUAUCAGAUGAGCCUAGGUCGGAUUAGCGAGUUGGUGAGGUAAGGGCCCACCAAGGCGACGAUCCGUAACUGGUCUGAGAGGAUGAUCAGUCACACUGGAACUGAGACACGGUCCAGACUCCUACGGGAAGCAGCAGUGGGGAAUAUUGGACAAUGGGCGAAAGCCUGAUCCAGCCAUGCCGCGUGUGUGAAGAAGGUCUUCGGAUUGUAAAGCACUUUAAGUUGGGAGGAAGGGUCGUUACCUAAUACGUGACGAUUUUGACGUUACCGACAGAAUAAGCACCGGCUAACUCUGUGCCAGCCGCCGCCGUAAGAC
rnacentral:rRNA from 1 species